AUGUUCUUUUAUCCCUUUCCCGUGAAGGCUUUCUUUCUCGCUUGUUCCGGUGGUGCCUCCUGUCAUCGAUUUUAUGUGGGACUUUUCGGUGGGAGGAUUAUCAUGGAGAAAUGGAGACAUAUCUUGCUAUCAAAGGAAGAGGAGAAAGGGAUAACAAAGACAAAGGAUGAAAUUAAUGAAGAAGAAGUGUUUUAG